UACGAAGGGGGCUAGCGUUGUUCGGAAUUACUGGGCGUAAAGCGCACGUAGGCGGCUUUCUAAGUCGGGGGUGAAAUCCUGGAGCUCAACUCCAGAACUGCCUUCGAUACUGGAGAGCUCGAGUCCGGGAGAGGUGAGUGGAACUCCGAGUGUAGAGGUGAAAUUCGUAGAUAUUCGGAAGAACACCAGUGGCGAAGGCGACUCACUGGCCCGAUACUGACGCUGAGGCGCGAAAGCGUGGGGAGCGAACAGG
rnacentral:rRNA from 1 species